AUACGGAGGUUCCCAGCGUUGUUCGGAAUUACUGGGCGUAAAGGGAGCGCAGGCGGAUAGGUCAGUCUAAAGUGGAAUCCCGGGGCUCAACCUCGGACGUGCUUUGGAUACUGCCUGUCUUGAGUUCGUGAGAGGAAAGCGGAAUUCAGGGUGUAGCGGUGAAAUGCUUAGAUAUCCUGAGGAACACCGGUGGCGAAAGCGGCUUUCUGGUACGAAACUGACGCUGAGGCUCGAAAGCGUGGGGAGC
rnacentral:rRNA from 1 species